UACAGAGACUGCGAGCGUUAUUCGGAUUCACUGGGCGUAAAGGGUGCGCAGGCGGUUUUGCAAGCCGGAUGUGAAAUCCCCGGGCUCAACCUGGGAAUGGCAUUCGGGACUGCAAGGCUGGAGUGCGGCAGAGGAGACUGGAAUUCCUGGUGUAGCAGUGAAAUGCGUAGAUAUCAGGAGGAAUACCGAUGGCGAAGGCAGAUCUCUGGGCCGUAACUGACGCUGAGGAGCGAAAGCGUGGGGAGCGAACAGG
rnacentral:rRNA from 1 species